GUGGGGAAUAUUGGACAAUGGGCGAAAGCCUGAUCCAGCCAUGCCGCGUGUGUGAAGAAGGUCUUCGGAUUGUAAAGCACUUUAAGUUGGGAGGAAGGGCAGUAAGUUAAUACCUUGCUGUUUUGACGUUACCGACAGAAUAAGCACCGGCUAACUUCGUGCCAGCAGCCGCGGUAAUACGAAGGGUGCAAGCGUUAAUCGGAAUUACUGGGCGUAAAGCGCGCGUAAGUGGUUUUGUAAGUUGGAGGUGAAAUCCCCGGGCUCAACCUGGGAACUGGCUCCAAAACUGCAUGACUAGAGUACGGUAGAGGGUAGUGGAAUUUCCUGUGUAGCGGUGAAAUGCGUAGAUAUAGGAAGGAACACCAGUGGCGAAGGCGACUACCUGGACUGAUACUGACACUGAGGUGCGAAAGCGUGGGGAGCAAACAGGAUUAGAAACCCUAGUAGUCC
rnacentral:rRNA from 1 species